UUAACUAGAGAUAACUUGGCACGACGCAACUGGCAAGGUAGCCAGACAUGUGUCUUUUGCCAACAUGAUGAGUCCAUCAAACACUUAUUUUUUGAGUGUAAGUUUGCUCGUGCAGUCUGGGCUAUAGUUCAAGUAGCUUCAAAUAUAUAUCCUCCGUGUAGUGCACGUAACAUGUUUGGCAAUUGGUUGUGGGUAUCGAUAAACAAUUUUUUGCACAUCUACUCGUGGGGGCGGCUGCCUUAUGUUGGGCAAUGUGGCUUACCGGAAAUGAUGUGA
rnacentral:rRNA from 1 species